rnacentral:misc_RNA from 1 species
GGAUAGUGCAGUAGGCCGAUUACAAGUUUUUGAAGCACCAUUUCCUUGUGAAAUCCCUACAUGUGGUAUGUUAUGCUAUGAACCACCUAGGUCAGAAAGUUGUAUUCCGCUGGAUUCAGAUCUUCUAAAUAUCUGCCGGGCACAAUUUGAAUCUGAUGCAAGUCCAAGCCCAUCACCGGAUGGUUUCUUCACUCCACCUAGUACAAAGGGUCGUAACCUAUGUGCACAAACUCCUGAAUCUGUACUGAGAAUCGCUGCUAGAAGCUUCCCAAACACGCCCUCCAUAUUAAGGAAAAGAAAGACUCAAGGUGAACUUUCAACGCCAACUAAUAAAAUGGGGAAGUCAGAUGGAGAUCUCCGUAUGGAAAAACCUAUUGAUGCGCGUGAUGAGAUCCAAUAUGACAGCUCACACAAAUCUAGCAUGCAUAAUAGAGUUUCUUCAAGAAAUUCUUUCAAUGGUGGUCUGUACAACAGUCAAGCAUUUAAUGCCUCUCCUCCAUAUCGAUUAAGGUCCAAGCGGACAUCUAUCUUUAAGUCUGUGGAGAAGCAGCUUCGGUUUGCAGUCAACAAAGAGAAACAUGAUACAAGCAAUGGGUUCAGUGGUUCUACUGUUAAUGAGAUAUCACAUGCAGCCAAAGAUUGUUCACAGGAUACAGAUAAGAAGGUGGAGUAAAUGCUGA